GUAUGAACGGCAAAACCUCUUCCAACUGUCUCCCCUCCCAUCCUUUUAAAUUUCCUCCUGUGUGAAGAAGCACAGAUAUAUCAGAAAGACGAGAAGACCCUGUCGAGCUUUAACCACUAAGUGGGCCUUACCCUUUUCAGGCACCACCUAAAGGUUUUGGUUGGGGCAACCAUGGAGAAAAAAGAUCCUCCAGAACAAAUAGAAGAAAGCUUUUCACUAUUUUACGACUAAGAACCAGGAACUGGUAUUCGGAAAAAGUUACCGCAGGGAUAACAGCGUCAUCUCCUCUAAGAGUCCUUAUUGACGAGGAGGUUUGCGACCUCGAUGUUGGAUUGGGGCCCCCUUAGGGUGCAGAAGCUCUAAACGGUUAGACUGUUCGUCUAUUAAAGCCCUACAUGAUCUGA
rnacentral:rRNA from 1 species